rnacentral:tRNA from 1 species
GCGGGAUUGUCGGAAUUGGCAGACGAGCGAGAUUUAGGUUCUCGUGUCCUAUGGCGUGUGGGUUCAAGUCCCACAUCCCGCA